CGCGCAAACUUUGCAAUACACGAAAGUGUGACAGGGCUAUCCCGAGUGCCGUCCGCUGAGGGUGGCUUUUACCCAGUCUAGAAAGCUGGGAGAAUAAGGAGAGGGCAAGUCUGGUGUCAGCCGCCGCGGUAAUACCAGCUCUCCGAGUGGUGUGGAUGUUUAUUGGGCCUAAAGCAUCCGUAGCUUGCUGAUCAAGUCCCCUGUUAAACCCAACGAAUCAAUCGUUGGAUUGCGGGGGAUACUGCUCGGCUAGGGGACGAGAGAGGCCGACGGUAUUUUCGGGGUAGGGGUGAAAUCCUAUAAUCCCGAGAGGACCACCAGUGGCGAAGGCUGUCGGCUAGAACGCGCCCAACGGUGAGGGAUGAAAGCUGGGGGAGCGAACCG
rnacentral:rRNA from 1 species